rnacentral:rRNA from 1 species
AAAGCGAAUCUGGAGGGAGCUUGCUCCCAAAGAUUAGCGGCGGACGGGUGAGUAACACGUGGGCAACCUGCCUGUAAGACUGGGAUAACUCCGGGAAACCGGGGCUAAUACCGGAUAAUAUCUAUUUAUACAUAUAAUUAGAUUGAAAGAUGGUUCUGCUAUCACUUACAGAUGGGCCCGCGGCGCAUUAGCUAGUUGGUGAGGUAACGGCUCACCAAGGCGACGAUGCGUAGCCGACCUGAGAGGGUGAUCGGCCACACUGGGACUGAGACACGGCCCAGACUCCUACGGGAGGCAGCAGUAGGGAAUCUUCCGCAAUGGACGAAAGUCUGACGGAGCAACGCCGCGUGAGUGAUGAAGGUUUUCGGAUCGUAAAACUCUGUUGUUAGGGAAGAACAAGUACCGGAGUAACUGCCGGUACCUUGACGGUACCUAACCAGAAAGCCACGGCUAACUACGUGCCAGCAGCCGCGGUAAUACGUAGGUGGCAAGCGUUGUCCGGAAUUAUUGGGCGUAAAGCGCGCGCAGGCGGUUCCUUAAGUCUGAUGUGAAAGCCCACGGCUCAACCGUGGAGGGUCAUUGGAAACUGGGGAACUUGAGUGCAGAAGAGGAAAGUGGAAUUCCAAGUGUAGCGGUGAAAUGCGUAGAGAUUUGGAGGAACACCAGUGGCGAAGGCGACUUUCUGGUCUGUAACUGACGCUGAGGCGCGAAAGCGUGGGGAGCAAACAGGAUUAGAUACCCUGGUAGUCCACGCCGUAAACGAUGAGUGCUAAGUGUUAGAGGGUUUCCGCCCUUUAGUGCUGCAGCAAACGCAUUAAGCACUCCGCCUGGGGAGUACGACCGCAAGGUUGAGACUCAAAGGAAUUGACGGGGGCCCGCACAAGCGGUGGAGCAUGUGGUUUAAUUCUAAGCAACGCGAAGAACCUACCAGGUCUUGGCAUCCUCUGACAUCCCAAAAAAAGGACUUUUCCCUUCCG